rnacentral:rRNA from 1 species
ACUGCAAGUCGAGCGGAAGAAGGGAGCUUGCUCCCGGAUGUUAGCGGCGGACGGGUGAGUAACACGUGGGUAACCUGCCUGUAAGACUGGGAUAACUCCGGGAAACCGGAGCUAAUACCGGAUAGUUCCUUGAACCGCAUGGUUCAAGGAUGAAAGACGGUUUCGGCUGUCACUUACAGAUGGACCCGCGGCGCAUUAGCUAGUUGGUGGGGUAAUGGCUCACCAAGGCGACGAUGCGUAGCCGACCUGAGAGGGUGAUCGGCCACACUGGGACUGAGACACGGCCCAGACUCCUACGGGAGGCAGCAGUAGGGAAUCUUCCGCAAUGGACGAAAGUCUGACGGAGCAACGCCGCGUGAGUGAUGAAGGUUUUCGGAUCGUAAAGCUCUGUUGUUAGGGAAGAACAAGUGCGAGAGUAACUGCUCGCACCUUGACGGUACCUAACCAGAAAGCCACGGCUAACUACGUGCCAGCAGCCGCGGUAAUACGUAGGUGGCAAGCGUUGUCCGGAAUUAUUGGGCGUAAAGGGCUCGCAGGCGGUUUCUUAAGUCUGAUGUGAAAGCCCCCGGCUCAACCGGGGAGGGUCAUUGGAAACUGGGAAACUUGAGUGCAGAAGAGGAGAGUGGAAUUCCACGUGUAGCGGUGAAAUGCGUAGAGAUGUGGAGGAACACCAGUGGCGAAGGCGACUCUCUGGUCUGUAACUGACGCUGAGGAGCGAAAGCGUGGGGAGCGAACAGGAUUAGAUACCCUGGUAGUCCACGCCGUAAACGAUGAGUGCUAAGUGUUAGGGGGUUUCCGCCCCUUAGUGCUGCAGCUAACGCAUUAAGCACUCCGCCUGGGGAGUACGGUCGCAAGACUGAAACUCAAAGGAAUUGACGGGGGCCCGCACAAGCGGUGGAGCAUGUGGUUUAAUUCGAAGCAACGCGAAGAACCUUACCAGGUCUUGACAUCCUCUGACAACCCUAGAGAUAGGGCUUUCCUUCGGGGACAGAGUGACAGGUGGUGCAUGGUUGUCGUCAGCUCGUGUCGUGAGAUGUUGGGUAGUCCCGCAACGAGCGCACCCUUGAUUAGUUGCAGCAUUCAUUGGGCCCUCUAAGGGACUGCGGUGACAACCGAAAGUGGGGAUGACCGAUCACCUGCCCUAUGACUGGGCUACCC